AAAUCCUGCCAGCUCCUCACACACAAUUUAGACGUUUCAAGUCACAGUUGGCUUUUUAAUCUGCAGAGGGACCAUCGCACCACACAGGACCUGUUCCAGUGCGAGGCCAGUCUUCGCAGAGGAGUGUUUCUGCCUUGGGCUGCAGGGAGCACUUCAUCCAGGCUCUACAUUUCCUGCCCUGCCAGGGGACACAUUCAGAGCUCAACUCCUUUUUUUCAGGAGCUGAAACACAGAGAAAGAGGCAGAGACAUGGGCAGAGGGAGAAGCAAGCUCCAUGAAGGGAGCCCAACGCGGGACUCAACCCCAAGGACUCCAGGAUCACGCCCUGGGCUGAAGGCAGGCACUAAACCCCUGAGCCACCCAGGGAUCCCCGAAACUUUUACAAUCUAUUACCAAAACUAGAUCAAAUUUAAAAACAAAAACUUUGUCCUCUCAACAGAUAGAAAACCAAAUUCUAAUUUUGCACCAGCUUACUUUUGUAUUAGAACAUAUUCUUUCCACAAAUUGAACUCCAAUAAAAAGAAAUUUAAAAAGAACA